rnacentral:rRNA from 1 species
GGCUACGGCCAUACACACCCGGAAUGCGCCAGAUCUCAUCGCGAUCUCGGAGCUAAGCAGGGUCAGGCCUGGUUAGUACUUGGAUGGGAGACAGCCUGGGAAUACCAGGUGCUGUAAGCU